rnacentral:rRNA from 1 species
UACAGAGGGUGCAAGCGUUGCUCGGAAUUAUUGGGCGUAAAGCGCGUGUAGGCGGCUUUGCAAGUCUGGUGUGAAAUCCCUCGCUUAACCGAGGAAGUGCGCCAGAAACUGCAGAGCUUGAGUACCGGAGAGGAUGGUGGAAUUCCUCAAGUAGAGGUGAAAUUCGUAGAUAUGGGGAGGAACACCGGUGGCGAAGGCGACCAUCUCGGACGGAUACGUGACGCUGAGAGCGAAAGCGUGGG